GAUGAAGAACGUAGCGAAAUGCGAUAAGUAAUGUGAAUUGCAGAAUUCAGUGAAUCAUCGAAUCUUUGAACGCACCUUGCGCUCCUUGGUAUUCCGAGGAGCAUGCCUGUUUGAGUGUCAUUAAAUUCUCAACCUCACCCGCUUUCUGAACGGUUCUCCGAGGCUUGGAUGUGGGGGUUUGUGCAGGCUGCCUCAGCGCGGUCUGCUCCCCUGAAAUGCAUUAGCGAGUUCGUACUGAGCUCCGUCUAUUGGUGUGAUAAUUAUCUACGCCGUGGACAGGGUUUAGACUCGCUUCUAACCGUCCGCAAGGACAAUACCUUUGACAAUUUGACCUCAAAUCAGGUAGGACUACCCGCUGAACUUAAGCAUAUCAAUAAGCGGAGGA
rnacentral:misc_RNA from 1 species